AUACGUAGGUGGCAAGCGUUGUCCGGAAUUAUUGGGCGUAAAGCGCGCGCAGGUGGUUCCUUAAGUCUGAUGUGAAAGCCCCCGGCUCAACCGUGGAGGGUCAUUGGAAACUGGGGGACUUGAGUGCAGAAGAGGAAAGUGGAAUUCCAAGUGUAGCGGUGAAAUGCGUAGAGAUUUGGAGGAACACCAGUGGCGAAGGCGACUUUCUGGUCUGUAACUGACGCUGAGGCGCGAAAGCGUGGGGAGCAAACAGGAUUAGAUACCCUAGUAGUCCACGCCGUAAACGAUGAGUGCUAAGUGUUAGGGGGUUUCCGCCCCUUAGUGCUGCAGCUAACGCAUUAAGCACUCCGCCUGGGGAGUACGGUCGCAAGACUGAAACUUAAAGGAAUUGGCGGGG
rnacentral:rRNA from 1 species